rnacentral:rRNA from 1 species
UGCCUGCCCUGUGACAAUUGUUUAACGGCCGCGGUACCCUAACCGUGCAAAGGUAGCGCAAUCACUUGUCUUUUAAAUGAAGACCCGUAUGAAUGGCACAACGAGGGUUUAACUGUCUCCUUUUUCCAGUCAAUGAAAUUGAUCCCCCCGUGCAGAAGCGGGGAUACUACCAUAAGACGAGAAGACCCUGUGGAGCUUCAGACACGAAAGCAGACCUUGUUAAAUACUUUAAAACAAAAGAAAAACAUAAAAGGAACCCUGCCCUAAUGUCUUUGGUUGGGGCGACCACGGGGUAAUAAAGAACCCCCAUGUGGAUUGAGAAGGUACUUCUUAAAACUAAGAACUGCCGUUCUAACUAACAGAACUUCUGACCUAUAGAUCCGGCAAUGCCGAUCAACGGACCGAGUUACCCCAGGGAUAACAGCGCAAUCCUCUUUUAGAGUUCAUAUCGACAAGAGGGUUUACGACCUCGAUGUUGGAUCAGGACAUCCUAAUGGUGCAGCAGCUAUUAAGGGUUCGUUUGUUCAACGAUUAACAGUCCU